ACUAGCUGACGAGUCCCAAAUAGGACGAAAUGCGCAUCCUGGAU
rfam:Trichobilharzia regenti genome assembly, scaffold: TRE_scaffold0044599